rnacentral:lncRNA from 1 species
CCAGCUUUAGACCCUCUUUGACAGCAUAGGCUUCACUUCAGCUCGUAAGGCACCAUGAACAUGCACCUUUUUGCCCCCAUCACCUAGCAUUUUACCAUUAACGUCCAUGGAAAUAAUACCAAGAGCCUUUUCUUUUGUUGCUACUUUGAAAGCUCCAUCGCAGUUCGUCUUGACAAAACCUUCUUGUAGGGCCCUGGACUAAUCAGCAGAACAGGAAACAUUGUAGUGAAUUUUAUUCGUAAAUUGAAAAGAACCUAACACUUCAUUCACAGCGAAGUUAAGUUCAUCAACUGUACCCUUAUUAUCCACUUUCUUUUUUUUCAAUGACACGUCGUAUCUGCCUUUCCAUAUAUACCAAACAGUAAAUGGCACCCAUACUUUAUCCUCCACCAACAGUUCUUUACAAGACAACACCUUAAAAAACCAUUUAUCAAAUUUGCAAAUUUUAUCCCUUUCAAUUUUGAGACCAUUGAAACCAACAAACCCAACCUCACGAGUCCAUUCACAGCCAAAACACAUAUGCUCAAUAGACUCCUCCUCUUGCUGACAUAUUGGGCAUAAAGAAACAACUCUUCUUUUAAACAGAUUUACAAAUGUAGCAAUUGAAUCAGUACACAGCUUCCACAAAAAAUGCUUGAUUUUACUUGGAACCUUCAAACUCCAAAGAAGCUUCCAAUGGUUUUUGUUGAUUUGUCUAGAAGAGGAAGGCUUCGAAGCUCCACCUUAAAGGGAAGAUUUCUUCAACUCAGAAUAUUAGAUUUAACAGAUUAAGUUCCUGUAUUUACAUAUGGACAUACAAGUGAAUUCUUUCCCUUUGACUGACAAAUUGCGACUUCUUUAACUGCACACCUUGCCUCAUAAAAAAUCCAGUUACCAAUGGGCUCAUCAUCCCAUACCCUUUCCUCUUUAUUCAUCCAUUCCACAACUUUUUUCUGGAAAGUACGUGCCCGCAACAGCUACAAGUUUAAGAAGCUUACCAUUUAGUUUAGGCACCCAGUGGUCACUCCAAAUAGACACCUCAAUCCCUUCCUUAACCUGCCAAAGUAGUCUAUCUUUUAAAAUAUCUCAACCAACCAAUAAACUGCUCAAAAUCAUGACGCUCUUGAACCCCUCACAACAUCAAUGAACUCAAACAUGAGGAAAAUAUAAGGCCUUCAAAACCCUAGCCCACAAGGCAUUUAGUUUUUGAACCAAUCUUCAGAAUUGUUUGGCCAGUAAUGCAACGUUGAAAGCUUCAAGAUCCUUGAAUCCAAGUCCCACGGCCAUUUUAUCCAUUGUUAAGAUUCCCAACUCCUCAAAUGCACCCUCCUUUCAUCCUUUCUUUGCCCCCCACCAAAACCGAGCCGUAGCAUUAUUGAGAUCAAAACAAAGUUUCUUUGGCCAUUUAUAACAUGCUAUACUAUAGGUUGGGACAACACAUGCAACUGCUUUCAAAAUAACUUCCUUACCACCCAUUGAUAAGAUUUGUUGUUUCCAACAUUGCACCUUGUUCAACACCCUACCUUUAAUUUUAGCCCAAAACUUCACAUCUGAUUUUACCCAAUAACG